rnacentral:sRNA from 1 species
GGACGGGAGUGCGAUCUGGCUGCGGCAUGUCACACCACUGACCACCAGGGUUGAUCUGGCCGACCUGUCUGUCUAAGCAGAUGUCCCCUUCCUCCCUCAUGGCUCCAUGUGUGUCCCUCCUGAAGCUGCAGCCCAACUCAUGAGGACUUUCCUCAUAAAAGAGGAGCAGCGUUUGGUCAAGGGUACGCUAGCACUCUGUGUCUUCCUGUUCAGACCCCAGACAAGCCCUCAGGUGUACAACAUGUCAAAGGCCACCCACUGCUUACUCU